GGGGGGAUGAGACUGCUAUACUGCAGUCGAGCGAAAGACGAGGAGCUUGCUCCUUUGACGUUAGCGGCGGACGGGUGAGUAACACGUGGGUAACCUACCUAUAAGACUGGGAUAACUUCGGGAAACCGGAGCUAAUACCGGAUAAUAUUUCGAACCGCAUGGUUCGAUAGUGAAAGAUGGCUCUGCUAUCACUUAUAGAUGGACCUGCGCCGUAUUAGCUAGUUGGUAAGGUAACGGCUUACCAAGGCAACGAUACGUAGCCGACCUGAGAGGGUGAUCGGCCACACUGGAACUGAGACACGGUCCAGACUCCUACGGGAGGCAGCAGUAGGGAAUCUUCCGCAAUGGGCGAAAGCCUGACGGAGCAACGCCGCGUGAGUGAUGAAGGUCUUCGGAUCGUAAAACUCUGUUAUUAGGGAAGAACAAACGUGUAAGUAACUGUGCACGUCUUGACGGUACCUAAUCAGAAAGCCACGGCUAACUACGUGCCACAGCCGCGGUAAUACGUAGGUGGCAAGCGUUAUCCGGAAUUAUUGGGCGUAAAGCGCGCGUAGGCGGUUUUUUAUGUCUGAUGU
rnacentral:rRNA from 1 species